UGGUAGCCGCCGCCCCGCCGCCCGCCCGCCUCAUGGCCGGCGUCGCCGCCGUGCGCCUCCUCCUCCUGCAGGCCGCGGCGGCGCUCGCCCUCGCCGCGGCGGCGGCCGCCGGGGGGCCGGAGGCCGCCACGCUGCUGGCGUUCCGGGGGGCGCUGCGGGGGCCGCACGGCGCGCCGCCGGAGCCGCUCAGCCAGUGGGCCACCACCACCCCCGGCCCCUGCGCCGGCGCCGGCACCGGCGUGUCGCUGUGGUACGGCGUGACAUGCCACCAGCGGACGGGGCAGGUGCGCGGCCUCCGCCUCGAGUACCUCGGCCUCCAGGGCCCCGCCCCGGACAUGGCGCCGCUCGCCGCGCUCCGGGGGCUCCGCGCCCUCAGCAUCGCCAACAACAACCUCACGGGGCCGUUCCCCGACGUGUCCAUGCUCCCGGCGCUCAAGAUGCUGUACAUGUCGCGGAACAAGCUCGACGGCGGCAUCCCGCCCGCCGCGUUCGCGCACAUGAGGGGCCUCCGCAAGCUCUUCCUCUCCGACAACGCGUUCACCGGCCCGAUCCCGACCUCCAUCACCUCGCCCAAGCUGCUCGUCCUGCAGCUCUCCAAGAACCGCUUCGACGGCCCCCUGCCGGACUUCAACCAGAAGGAGCUGCGCCUCGUCGACGUCUCCGACAACAACCUCUCCGGCCCCAUCCCGCCGGGCCUCCGGCGGUUCGACGCCAAAUCGUUCCAAGGAAACAAAAAUCUCUGCGGCCCGCCGGUCGGCGCCCCGUGCCCCGAAGUGCCAAUCCUCGCGUCACCUUCGCCAUCGCCGCUGUCGUCGUCGUGGUGGUCGCCUCGCAGCUUGAAGAUCCUCAUGAUCAUCGCCCUCGUGGUGGUCGUCGUCGGCGCGCUCCUGGCAUUCGCCGGCGCGUUGACGGCGAUGCUCGCCCGACGCCGCGAGGCCACCACCGAAACCCAGGGCGGCGGCGUCGGCGGCGCCGCCGCCAACGCCGCCGCCGCCAGGAUGAAGGCCACGCCCAAUCCGGCCGUCACCGUCGCACACGGCGGCGGCGGCGGUGGCGGCGAGCAGCAGCCGCACGUGACGGUGUCGGCCGUGCCGGCGAAGCGCGGCGGGCGGCGGGACGACCACGGGCGGCUGGUGUUCAUCCAGGAGGGGAGGGAGAGGUUCGAGCUGGAGGACCUGCUCCGGGCGUCGGCAGAGGUGCUCGGCAGCGGCAGCUUCGGCGCGUCGUACAAGGCGACGCUGGUGGAAGGCCAGUCCAUGGUGGUGAAGCGGUUCAAGGAGAUGAACGGCGUCGGGAGGCAGGACUUCAACGAGCACAUGCGGCGGCUCGGCCGCCUCGUCCACCCCAACCUCCUCCCCGUCGUCGCCUACCUCUACAAGAAGGACGAGAAGCUGUUCGUCACCGAGUACAUGGUCAAUGGCAGCUUGGCUCACCUCCUCCAUGGAGGGUCGAGCAUGGCGGCGCUGGACUGGCCGCGGCGGCUCAAGAUCAUCAAGGGCGUGACGCGCGGGCUGGCGCACCUGUACGACGAGCUGCCGAUGCUCACCGUGCCGCACGGACACCUCAAGUCGUCGAACGUCCUCCUCGACGCUGCGUUCGAGCCCAUCCUCAGCGACUACGCCCUCGUUCCCGUCAUGACGCCGCGCCACGCCGCGCAGGUGAUGGUGGCGUACAAGUCGCCGGAGUGCGGGGAGACGGGGAGGCCGAGCAAGAAGAGCGACGUGUGGAGCCUGGGGAUCCUGAUACUGGAGGUGCUCACCGGCAAGUUCCCGGCGAACUACCACCGGCAGGGGCGGACGGGGACGGACCUGGCGGGGUGGGUGCACUCGGUGGUGCGGGAGGAGUGGACCGGCGAGGUGUUCGACCAGGAGAUGCGCGGCGCUCGCGGCGGCGAGGGCGAGAUGGUGAAGCUGCUCAAGGUCGGCCUCGGCUGCUGCGAGAGCGACGUGGACAAGCGAUGGGACCUCAGGGAUGCCCUCGCCCGCAUCGAGGAGCUCCGGGAACGCGACGCCGGCGCCGGCGCCGACGACAGCAGCGCCGCCUCGUCCGUGGCCAGCGGCGGCGGCGGCGGCGAGGCGUCGCGCUCCCACUCCUCGUAGCGAAACAGCAGCGAUCUCACCUUGUGUACGCGCGCGUAUGUUUCACAGCUUUUUCGGUGCAUCUGAUCAGCCCUACGAUUCGAAAGGGACGGAGGAGAUCUUCCGGGUGAUAUACGAAGAUUGUUGGUAGAAAGAGAGAAUCCAUUAGAGUUUGUAACAGGUAUACAAUUUACUUUUGCAUAUGCCAUUGACUUUUUUCUUACCUUCUACGAUUUUUACCAUCGCCGUCCGGUUAGUCUAUGUGUACUGUACAAUUUUAUCUAAAUGACCAAAAUACCCCUGGGACAAAAACUUCUAAAGUUUGAUAAAAAAAUUCUGAAUUAUCAUAUUUUAAGUUUUUGACAAAAAUUGGAUGUUUACAAUCUUAUGUUUAUAAUAUUGAUAUUUCGAAAUUUUUGUCCAAAUUUUGGAUGUUUUUGUUCCAGGAGUAUUUUGAUCAUUUGGAUAAAAAAUGUAUAAUACUAGGGAAGGUUAACCAGACGGCGAUGGUAAAUUGUAGAAGUUAAGUAAAAAAAAAGUGACAUAUUGUAAAACGUGACAAAAUCAGUGGUAAAUUGAAGACAUGUAACAAACUCAGUGACAUAUAAUGGAUUUUCUCUAGAAAUAUUG